rnacentral:rRNA from 1 species
UACGUAGGGGGCAAGCGUUGUCCGGAAUCAUUGGGCGUAAAGAGCGUGUAGGCGGCCCGAUAAGUCCGCUGUGAAAGUCCAGGGCUCAACCCUGGGAUGCCGGUGGAUACUGUCGGGCUCGAGUCCGGAAGAGGAGUGUGGAAUUCCUGGUGUAGCGGUGAAAUGCGCAGAUAUCAGGAGGAACACCAGUGGCGAAGGCGGCGCUCUGGGCUGGAACUGACACUGAGGAGCGAAAGCGUGGGGAGCGAACAGG